UUCCGUCUUCAGUUUUGGUGAUAGAAUACAGUCCAGGGCUACAGUUAAGGACUUUGGCGUCCAGUUAUUUCUUUCGUUUUUGGGGAGGAGUUGGUGGAGAUGGCGGUCGUCUUACUGCAGGCCUUAGAGCGGACAGAGUUGAACAAACUCCCGAAAGGCGUCCAAAACAAGCUGGAGAAGUUUGUAGCAGACCUGCAGAAUGCUAACGAGGCGCUAAAGACGCAGCAUGAGCGGUUCAAAGCAGACAGUGAGCAGCGAUACUUUGACUUUGAGAAACAACUGACAGAGAGCCAAGAACAGAUCCUUUCUGCCACAAACGACCUGCAGAUCCUGAAAGAGGAGAAUAAAAAACUAAAUGAAGAGCUGAGCUCUUUGAAAGGAAUAGAGGAUGAGACCAGUGAAGAAAAACGACCACAACAGCAAACCAAGGCAAAGUAUGAAAUUGAGGCGGAGAAGAGAGAACUGGAGAGGCUGCUGGAGAAGAGAACGCAGGAGGUGGAGAACCUGACAGAGGACAUGAAACGUCUGAAUGAGAAGCUGACCGACACCAACAAACUAAAGAUGGAGCUCCAGCUAAAGCUGGAUGAAAUACAGUCAUCGACAGCCUCUGUGCAGCACCGAGAGAAACGAAUGGAGCAGGAGAAAGAGCUGCUGGAGAAGAAAGUUGAUUGGUUAACUGCAGAGCUGUCGACCAAAACUGAGGAGUUACUGAACACCAACAGAGAGAAGGGGAAGGAGAUACUGGAGCUGCAGGGCAGUCUGCAGAGCAGCAACGAGCAGGUGAGCAGACUUGAGAGUCAGCUCACUUCUCUGAAAGAACUCAGCGAAAGCCAAAGUAAAAGAGCUGAAGAUCUCAAUAACAAACUGAAACAGGCAAAGGAUGAACAGGUUGCUAUGGAGGAGAAAUACCGUGUUGAGCUCAAUGCUCAUGUCAAGUUAUCAUCACUCUACAAGGGUGCAGCGACUGACAUGGAGGCAAAGAACCAGGAGCUGAGCAGAGCAGUGGAGGAGCUUAGCAAGCUGGUCAAAGAGACAGGAGAAGCUAACAAGGGUCUGGAGAAGAAAGUUUCAGAUGCUGAAGAGCAAAAGGUACGAGUUCAGGCAGAACUUGGAGAGAAGAUAAAGAAAAUGGAGAAGGAGCUGGAAAAUGCAACGAUGAAGGCUGCUGGAAAAAACUGCUGCGGGUCUUCUUUGACAGAAGAACAGCUGGACUCCAUGUGUCCAUCAGCGACUGCCAUCGCUGCAAUUGUCAAGCCUGGCAUGAAAUUUUUCGAUCUAUAUAAUGCAUACGCAGAGUGUCAGACCCAUCUGCAGCUCGAGAAGCAGGAGACGAGGAGGGUGAGCAAAGUCCUUGAUGAAAUAGUGCAGGAGGUGGAGUCCAAAGCUCCUGUGCUCAGGCGACAGAGAGAGGAGUAUGAGAGCAUGCAGAGGUCAAUGGCUUCCCUAUGCAACAAACUGGAACAAGCUCGAACGGAGAUCUACAGUCUGCAAAAAGAGAAAGAUGAAGCCAAGCAGAGCUACGAUGCCAUGGAGAGAGAAAAACUAAAGGCUGAGAGGCAACUAGAGGAUUCAUCUGCACAGCUGUGCAAUCUCCUGGUCGAGUUGGAAGAAGCGCGUGGCAAUCGGGUGUCCAAAGACGACGGCAGCUCCUCCGAUAUUUCCAGCACCUCGGAGGUGAACAGCUCGAGCCAGCUGUCGUUCCGCAGCGUGAUGGAGCUCCAGAGACAGAACCAAAGCCUGCUGGGAAGACUACGGGAGCUGGAGGAGGAGAAGAGCAGGGAGCGGUCCAGGGAGGAAAACGCACGCAUAACGGAGUUGGAGUCUGUUGUGGAUAAACUACAGAAGGAGGUGGAGCAGCUGAGAGAGCAGAGGAACCAGCAGAAACAGCUGGCCGACUCCAACGCUAGGCAGAGAGACAUGUUCAAGGCUCUGCUGACUCAGAGCACCGGCUUCAGCUUGCCUCCUCAAGGUCAGGAGUUGAUUCUCCGUCCUUCCGCCCCAGCUACUCGCUCCACUCCUCAGAGAGCCGCUGCCGCAGAGUCCAGCCAGACCGUUCACACAAAAGCUGCUCUAAAACAGCUCAACGACUCUUUUGCCUUGUAUAAGAAAGAGAAGGCUGAGAAUGACCGGAUGCUGAAUGAAACUAACGACCGAUUGCAGAAGCAGCUGGCGGAGCUCCGCUCCAGCCACGCCAAACUCACUUCUCAGCUGGACUUCAGUAACAAGAGGUAUGAGAUUCUUCAGGAAACUGUGUCAGCUUACCGCAGAGAGAUCAACGCACUGCAGAAGAGUAACCAAUCAAUGGCCGCCACAGUUCAGCGGCACGAGCAUAACAUCCAUACGAUGGUCCAGGACCUGAGGAAGGCCAAUGAAAAACUGGCACUGGAACAGGUGCGUGUGGAGAACCUGACUAAAGAGAGAGACAUGUUGCGGCAGGCAGAGUGUCGGCUCGAUAAAGAGAAGGAAGCUGUUCUGGCUGAGCAACGCAACCAGAACCUUCUGCUGACCAACCUGAAGACCAUACAGUUGGCCAUGGAGCGUACAGAGACGGAGACUCGCCAGCGACUUAACAACAAAAUAGAACAGCUGGAGGCUGAACUGGCCUCAAUAAAGACCAAGCUGGAGGAAGAAGUUGCUCAGCGACACGCCCUCGGACGAACCAUGGAUGCCCAGUUAUUAGAAGCAAAGAAGCAGCUGGAGACACAAAACAUCUUGCUGCAGAAGACCAAGGAGCUUCUGCGUGGCUCUGAGCAGCAGGUGACCGCGCUGAAAGCUCAGCUGGCGUCUGCGUCUUCCUCCGAAGCCGCUACCGCCUCCGGCAUCACAACCACCCCAAUCAUCAGAUCUGCUGCCCUGCGGGCUCCACUCAGAGUACACUCCCCAGUGCCAGCAGCCUCUCCACAGCCCGGCCAAUCAGAGCAGGAGCUUUCAGACCUGAAGGCUCAACUACGAAGUGCCGAGGAACAAAAUGCUGAGCUGGCGGAGCAGCUGAAGAACGCUAAUGCCACGGUUGAACAGUACCGAUCUGUAGUUCUAACUCUGGAAGACAGCUUGAAGAAAGAAAAGGAGUCGCGCUCUCCUCUAGAGGUCCGACUGAAGCAGUCGGAGGAUGUGCAGAAGCAGCUGGAGAAGAAGAUGCUAGAGGUGGAGAAGCUGAAGCAGCAGGAAUUGGAGGAGAGGAAGAAGGCUGUGGAUGCAGUGGAGAAACAAGUGUUGGAGCUGCAGCGCAGUCUGAAGGCCAGUCAGACAGAACAGCAGGACGCCCUGGAGAGAGCUGCCGCCGCCGUCACACAGGAACAGAAAGCCACACAGAACAGCCUGCUGCAGACUAAGCUAGCUGGCGAGGCGCAGGCCAAGUACGAACGAGAGCUGAUGCUUCAUGCUGCCGAUGUGGAGGCUCUGCAGCAGCUGAAGAAAACAUCCCAGCACGAAGCAGCACGCAAGAGGGAGAUCGAAGAAGAACUGAAGAAAGCUACUUCCCUCCUACAAGUGAAAACUAAUGUCUGGAUUACAACGGAGAAGCGACUAAAGGAAGAGCUAUCCAGUCUGAAGUCUCGCUUUGAAGAACUGGGAAAACAAAAUAGUCUCCUGCUCCAGCAGAUGGAUGAAAUGGCUGCCAGGAGUCGCCAGCAACAGCAGCAGCAGCAACAGCAGCAGCAGCAGCAACUGGACCUUUCAUUUAGUGAGGACGGAAAAACCACUGAACAGAUUCUGGAAAUCCUUAGGUUUGUGCGUCGCGAGAAGGAGAUUGCUGUUGCUCAGUCCGAGGCGUCUGAAGGAGAGGCUCUUCGCUACAAACAGCAAGUCGAGCACAAAGACAGAGAACUGAAGGAGCUGCAGGAAGCUCUAAAUGCAGAGAGAGAGAGGAUGCAAUUGACCAGCAAGACUCUGUGUGAGCAGCAGGAACAGCUGAAGAAGAUGGAGAGCAUCAGCGCUCUGCAAGAAAACAACAGGAUGCUGAAACUGGACCGAGAUAAGCUGGAACUGGAGCUUCAGCAGGCUCAGGCUAAAGUAACAAAGCUACAGUCAGACAUCGCCCCCCUGCAUAACUCUCUGUCUAUACUGUCGGAGAAAAAUGGUUCCCUGCAGGCUGAUAAGAGGCUGCUGGAGGACGACCUCAAACGCUGGAAGGCUAAAGUUCAACACCUGGUCAGCCAACAAAAAGAGGGAGACGCCGAGGAAAAACAGAAAAUCACAGCUGAAAAAGAGGCACAACAGAAACGCAUAGCGCAGCUAAUUGAAGAGGCGGCUAAGCUUAGGACUGAGCUGGCCAGAUCCAACGCCGGCAGCAAUUCAGCUCAAGCCCAGCUUCAAGGUCUCAAAGACUCUGUGGUCCGCUUGACAUCGGAAAAAGACUCCUUUAAGAAAGACCUGGAAACUAAAAACAAUGAAAUUCUGGAGAAGAACAGGACCAUCACUCAGGUGAAGAAGAUUGGACGCCGCUACAAGACUCAGUACGAGGAGCUGAAAGCCCAGAAUGAUAAGACGGCUGGGGAAACUUCUGGAAAGAACGACCUGAAGAAGACCCAAGAUGAACUACAUACUCUGAAGGAGGAAGCUCAGAAAAGGCAGGCGGAGGCUCAGAAGUCUCAGCAGGACUUGGAGGCGGCUCAGAAGGAACAUCAGCAGAGCAAAGAAAAACUCCAGGAGCUCCAAACCCAGCUCACACAGAGCCAGAACGAGCUGACACAGGCCCAGUCCCAGCUGAGUCAGGCCCAGACCCAGUUGCAGCAGAAUCAGAGCCAGCUGGCCCUGAAGCAGAAAGUAUUUGACCAAUUCAAGAACCAACUCCAGCAGUCACAGAUCAAGCUAAAAUCGGUCCAGUCUCUGGCCCAGGCCCGGCAGAACCAGAUGCAGCAGAUGCAGGAGGAGCUUCAGCAGGCUAAAGAGGCCGUCCAGCAGAACGCUGCGAAAGAGAAGGAGCUCCAGCAGAACCACAGUCAGGAGGUCAGCAACCUGAAGACCUCUCUCAGUCGAGCCGAAAACAAGGUGGCUGAGCUUCAAAUCCAACUGAACAACCUGCAGAAGACAGUUUCUGAGCGUGAAGCAGAGAUUAUGAAACUGCAGGAGCAGCUAAUUGAAGUUAAGCGUGCUCAUGAAGCUAGCCAAGCAGCACUGACCAGCCAGAGUUCCCAGUCUAUCCAGGCCAAUGACUCCACAGCUGCUGGAGAUUUCAGUCAGACACAGCAUGAUGAGCUGACCAAGCUCAAACAGGAGCUUUCUGAGAGUAAGAACAGAGAAGAUCAGCUUAAACUGCAGAUGGCUGAGAAAGAGGAGAAGACCAAAAAGGCCAUUCUGGGAGCCAAAUUAAAAAUCGGCCAAGUAAACAGUGCCAAAGAGCAGCUCAGUCAGGAGAACGAGGAGCUGAAGCAGAGCAAAGAGGAGCUGGAGGUCAGGAUGAACGCCCUCAAGUCUCAGUACGAAGGAAGACUUCUUCGAAUGGACAGAGAGCUGAGAGAACUGAGAGAGACACAAGCUCACUCUGACGGGAGGGAGGAAACUCAGGACCAGGGCGUAGCCAAGUUGGAUCAGCCCAGAUCUUCAGACCAGAGACAAAUUUCUUUGAAAAGUCCUGCUCAAGACAGGGGAAGCCUGAGCACCUCUGAGCCACCCACCGCCAACAUUCGGCCCACUCCAAGCACUCAGUCACCCAGCAACAAGCCGAGUCCGUCCACCGGCAGCAAGGCCACCCCUCGCGCCAGCAUCAGGCCCAUGGUUACACCUGCACCUGUCCCCAUCCCAACACCCACAGCCACAGUGAUGCCCACUACACAGACGGAGAGUCAGGAGGUUCUCAUCUCUACAGGAGCUUCUGUUCACUCCACCAGCUCUUCCCUCAUGAAUCCUCUGACCUCCUUAACUCAGCCAACCAGCACUCAGGCCACAGCCUUUGUUCAGCCCACCCAGCAGCAGGCAGCCAAUCAGGACGCAGGCUCCAGCAUAGAGGCAGAAUGUCCAUCCACAUCCUCCUCCUGCAUGCCUUCAACAGCUAAAACUGGCUCAAAGCGAAGCAGAGAAACCGAAGAGGAGGAAGAGGAAAGUCGACCUGAGAGUUCCCAAACACCUCCGAACACUAAAAAACUGCGACUGAAACCAACAAUCGCUCUGCAGAUGGAGGGUGAUGAAGAGCUGGAAGGAGAGCUGGGGGACAUGGGAGAGCAACAGGUUUCGCCUGAUGACAGUCGGGAGCUCCCAGAGGAAGGCUUCCAGGUGUUUUCUGAGGAGGACGAAGGAGUUUCCCAGUCCGUCCCGUCUGACCAGGGCCCCCAGGGCUCGGCUUUAAUUCGAGACGUCAUUGUGAUCGACACCGACAGCGAGAGCAGGGAGAGCAAAGAGGGGGACCAGAGAGUGGAAGAAGAGGAUGAAGACGAAGAAGAGGAUGAAGAGGAAGCAGAAGGAGAGCAGGAAGAAGACGACGAAGAAGAUGAUGAUGGAGCUGCUGACAGCGGGAUGAGAGGAGGAGAGGAGCACAACGAGGAGAGUCAGGAGGCUGAAGAUGAGAGAGAGGAAGUCGCUCCUUCAGGGGGUUCCAACGCUGAGGAGAAUGUGAGUGGCGCCCCCACCAGCUCCCAGCGCCCUUCUGACCCCUCACAGAGCGGAGAAGGCACCAGUUGCGGAGCAGAUCUAGGAUCUGCUAGGGAUUACCUCCACCACCCGCCAACCUGCUCCACUGCACACUCCCCCUGCUCCUCCUCCCUGAUGCCCCGCCUCUCCCAGCCGCGCAGGCCGUCACCCCGGCUCUUCAUCCAAGCGCCGGCACCUGAACUGGGACCCCCACACACACAGAGACAGCCUUCUCAACUUCGUAGACCAUCAUCGGGUCGUGGACCUCAACUAACUCCUGGAUUAGCCUCCAUGCCGUUCUUUGAUGACGAUGACAGAAUGGUUCCCAGUACUCCCACUCUGGUGGUCCCACACCGCACCGAUGGUUUUGCCGAGGCUAUACAUUCUCCACAGGUAGCAGGCCUCUCCACCAGAUUCAGGUUCGGGCCUCCAGAAGAUUUGCUGCAGCAGGCAUCAGCUUCACAUUCGGACCUGGGACAGCUGGCGUCUCAAGGAGGCUUGGGGAUGUAUGAAUCUCCUCUCUUCCUGGCUGCUCAUGAUGAAGAUGGCGGAGGGAGGAGUGUCCCUACCACACCUUUACAGGUGGCUGCACCAGUGACGGUCUUUACAGAGAAUAUGCCCUCUGACAGUGGCGACAACUUGGCCUCCCAGUCAGUUCCCAUGGUAACUGCCUCAACUGGGAUGGCUGCUGCUGCAGAUGAUGGAGAUGAGGUUUUCAUGGAGCACGAAGGAGAAGGUCCAGAUAUUGACGUUUCUCUGGACAGCCAGAUGCUCCUGGAGUCAACAGGACAGCAACGUGAUGAUGCCUCCCUGCCGUCUACAAGUCAAGAUCCUGAUCUGCCAACAGUUUGUACAAGAAGUCUGACGAUAAAAUCGCCCUUACACACCAGUCUGUUAUGCAGCAAUCACACAAGACACCAGCAGUGACAGUCAGCCUCGCUCAGUAACAAGCCAGCGUCAGACGAGCAUCCUCUCAGGCAGAGGACGGUUCCUCAGUCGCACAGGAGCAUUUCCUCGAGCAGGAAGAGGCGGAGCCACAUGAAAAGGGGGUGUGGCCUGACGCUGACAUUUAAAAAGAAAACCCACUUAAACAUCAAUGUUCCAAAAAGUUUAAAGAUCACAUAAAAAUGAGUUAUCACAAUUUUAUAGGAGACGUACCAGGUUGUCUUUUCUCAUAUAAGACAUGUUUGAUUGUAAAAUCCAGUGAGGUUUGGUGUAAUUUGUCCUGUUUGUUUUUAGAUUUUCAGACGAAUCCUGAUUUGUUUUUUAUUUUGUUCUGUUUGAGUCUAUUCUGCAAGUGUUUUUAAGAAUAAAGUGGAAUAACAAAUAGCA